UGUAGGAGCGAGCUUGCUCGCGAUGCCGGCACCGCGGUCUGUCCGACAGACCGCUAUCGCGAGCAAGCUCGCUCCUACA
rnacentral:misc_RNA from 1 species